AACGAACGCUGGCGGCAGGCCUAACACAUGCAAGUCGAGCGGACCCUUCGGGGUUAGCGGCGGACGGGUGAGUAACGCGUGGGAAUAUGCCCUUCUCUACGGAAUAGUCCUGGGAAACUGGGGGUAAUACCGUAUACGCCCUUAGGGGGAAAGAUUUAUCGGGGAAGGAUUAGCCCGCGUUGGAUUAGGUAGUUGGUGGGGUAAUGGCCUACCAAGCCGACGAUCCAUAGCUGGUUUGAGAGGAUGAUCAGCCACACUGGGACUGAGACACGGCCCAGACUCCUACGGGAGGGAGCAGUGGGGGAUCUUAGACAAUGGGGGCAACCCUGAACGAGCCAUGCCGCGUGAGUGAUGAAGGCCUUAGGGUUGUAAAGCUCUUUCAGCUGGGAAGAUAAUGACGGUACCAGCAGAAGAAGCCCCGGCUAACUCCGUG
rnacentral:rRNA from 1 species